AAACACCUAUGUGCAUAUUCUUUUGUCUCUAAUCUUGCUACGGUUAAUUUUUUUACUAGACAUCUCUCCACCAUGCAGUACGCAUCCAAUAUCACGUGUCACGCCCCCACCUGCAGAUUAGUUAGUCAGAAAACUAUUGUUCAUGUACAGUGGACCAUUUAUACCAAUAAAUUUUAUUAAAAAAAGAAACCUUUAAAUUUAGAUUAAAUUUAAAUUGAGUAUAUGGAUGCACUUUUAUUUAUUUUGUGAAAUAAAAAGAAACUUAUUUUAUUUUUACAUUUUUUUCAAAGUGGACGGUUUGACCGGGCCCUCAAGAAAACUGGGUCCUAGACAUUUGUUUAUGUUAGGUCCCGGCCCUGACGCCAUGCAGUCAACUCCUUUACUGGCAUUUGAAGCAGGAUCGAAUUUAUCAGCGUUCAGCGAGUUUAUCCACUCGAACUUCUUACAUUAGAAUACGUACUUCGCUACAGAGCAAUCGCUUGUCUCUUCAUAAAAACGAAUUUGCUACAUUUUCAAUAAGCGUCCCACCAGUGGCUGAAAGGGUAAGACCCUGAAUACUGAUAGUUCGACCUGGUUUGGGUUCGAGCCCAGACGAACGUGCUGGCGGUGUGGGUUUUCUUAUGUGUAACAUGAACUCGAGCCGUUUUACCACAGAAAGUCCUCCGUCCUCAGAGUAGUUGCUUUGUCAUAGCCAAACUACCUAACUUUAUUUUGCAGCUAUAAAAUAAAUAAAUUUAAUCCUUCUGUUUACAUUAAUGUGAACUACUUAUUUGGAUCACUCUUCUCACAAUGGAGUAUAUUAAGUAAAUCUAUUGGUGACCCAGG
rnacentral:lncRNA from 1 species